rnacentral:rRNA from 1 species
UACAUAGGCGGAAAAUUAAGUCAGUAGUGAAAUCCUGCAGCUUAACUGUAGAACUGUUAUUGAUACUGGUUUUCUUGAAUAUAGUUGAAGUAGGCGGAAUGUGUAAUGUAGCGGUGAAAUGCUUAGAUAUUACACAGAACACCGAUUGCGAAGGCAGCUUACUAAGCUAUGAUUGACGCUGAGGUACGAAAGCGUGGGGAGCGAACAGGAUUAGAUACCCUGGUAGUCC